rnacentral:rRNA from 1 species
AUGGACCCGCGGCGCAUUAGCUAGUUGGUGAGGNAACGGCUCACCAAGGCAACGAUGCGUAGCCGACCUGAGAGGGUGAUCGGCCACACUGGGACUGAGACACGGCCCAGACUCCUACGGGAGGCAGCAGUAGGGAAUUUUCGGCAAUGGNGGAAAGUCUGACGGAGCAACGCCGCGUGAACGAUGAAGGCUUUCGGGUCGUAAAGUUCUGUUGUCAGGGAAGAACAAGU